CCCUGGUGGCUCAGAUGGUACAAAAACCUGCCUAUGAUGCAGGAGACCCAGGUUCGAUCCCUGGAUCAGGAA
rnacentral:tRNA from 1 species